rnacentral:rRNA from 1 species
UACGUAGGGGGCAAGCGUUAUCCGGAUUUACUGGGUGUAAAGGGAGCGCAGACGGCAGUGCAAGUCUGGAGUGAAAGCCCGGGGCCCAACCCCGGAACUGCUCUGGAAACUGUGCGGCUAGAGUACUGGAGGGGCAGGUGGAAUUCCUAGUGUAGCGGUGAAAUGCGUAGAUAUUAGGAGGAACACCAGUGGCGAAGGCGGCCUGCUGGACAGUAACUGACGUUGAGGCUCGAAAGCGUGGGGAGCAAACAGG